rnacentral:lncRNA from 1 species
UCUUUCCUCGCGAAGAACAGGUAUCUCCCCCGCGCAGGUCCCGUUCGGCAUCCGCGGCGCUGGUCCCACACCGCCCCAUUCCCUCGCCGCCGGGCCGCAUAGGCAGCUACCUGCGCGAGCGCUCCGCCGUUGCUGCUGCUCCACGCACCGCCCUUACUGCUGCUCUGCGCACCGCCGGUGAUCCCCGGCCACGCCCUCCGGCCCCGGCUUUGCUCCGCCGCUACAGUUGCCCGGCCGCUGCUCCGCCACAGCUGCAGGUGUCCGGCCGUGCGCGCCAUAGGGCCAGGUGAGUGGGGAGGCUAGGUGGCAUUUUGGGGUGAAAAUUAGGUGAAUUCCGGGGGCAUUUUGGUACCGCUAAAUGCGAGGACAGGGUAGGAGCCGGGGGGAAGCUGUUUUCAGGUAAAGUUCUACCAAAUGGAGCCUAUAGCUUUGCCAUACACACUGCUCUUUAUUUCAUCUGUCAGACAUUGGCCAUAGUUCAGCGAGGAAGCGUGGCAUCAUGUGGAACGUAACGAAACAUCAGUGUACACACAUACGUUGCGGCACUCGCAGUUUCCAAACUGUGGCUGUACAAACCAUUGGCCCUUCUGCUGCUGAAUUUUGCAC